rnacentral:rRNA from 1 species
AUUGAACGCUGGCGGCAGGCCUAACACAUGCAAGUCGAGCGGAUGAAGGGAGCUUGCUCCUGGAUUCAGCGGCGGACGGGUGAGUAAUGCCUAGGAAUCUGCCUGGUAGUGGGGGAUAACGUCCGGAAACGGGCGCUAAUACCGCAUACGUCCUGAGGGAGAAAGUGGGGGAUCUUCGGACCUCACGCUCUCAGAUGAGCCUAGGUCGGAUUAGCUAGUUGGUGGGGUAAAGGCCUACCAAGGCGACGAUCCGUAACUGGUCUGAGAGGAUGAUCAGUCACACUGGAACUGAGACACGGUCCAGACUCCUACGGGAGGCAGCAGUGGGGAAUAUUGGACAAUGGGCGAAAGCCUGAUCCAGCCAUGCCGCGUGUGUGAAGAAGGUCUUCGGAUUGUAAAGCACUUUAAGUUGGGAGGAAGGGCAGUAAGCUAAUACCUUGCUGUUUUGACGUUACCAACAGAAUAAGCACCGGCUAACUUCGUG